GAUGAACGCUAGCUACAGGCUUAACACAUGCAAGUCGAGGGGUAACGAGAGGAAAGCUUGCUUUCCUUGUCGACGACCGGCGCACGGGUGAGUAACGCGUAUCCAACCUGCCCCCAACUAGGGAAUAACCUUGCGAAAGUAAGACUAAUACCCUAUAAUUUCCUCAGAUGUCAUCUGACGAGGAAUAAAGAUUUAUCGGUUGUGGAUGGGGAUGCGUCUGAUUAGCUUGUUGGCGGGGUAACGGCCCACCAAGGCAACGAUCAGUAGGGGUUCUGAGAGGAAGGUCCCCCACAUUGGAACUGAGACACGGUCCAAACUCCUACGGGAGGCAGCAGUGAGGAAUAUUGGUCAAUGGGCGGAAGCCUGAACCAGCCAAUUAGCGUGCAGGAUGACGGCCCUAUGGGUUGUAAACUGCUUUUAUACAGGAAUAAAGUUAGCCACGUGUGGUUAUUUGUAGGUACUGUAUGAAUAAGGACCGGCUAACUUCGUGCCAGCAGCCGCGGUAA
rnacentral:rRNA from 1 species